UACGGAGGGGGCUAGCGUUGUUCGGAAUCAUUGGGCGUAAAGGGCGCGUAGGCGGCCGAUCAAGUCGGAGGUGAAAUCCCUCGGCUCAACUGAGGAAUUGCCUUCGAUACUGUUCGGCUUGAGUCCUGGAGAGGGUAGCGGAAUUCCCGGUGUAGCGGUGAAAUGCGUAGAGACCGGGAAGAACACCAGUGGCGAAGGCGGCUACCUGGACAGGUACUGACGCUGAUGCGCGAAAGCGUGGGGAGCAAACAGG
rnacentral:rRNA from 1 species